GAUGAACGCUAGCGGCAGGCCUAAUACAUGCAAGUCGGACGGGAUCCAUUGAUAGCUUGCUAUCAAUGGUGAGAGUGGCGCACGGGUGCGUAACGCGUGAGCAACCUGCCUCCAUCAGGGGGAUAGCCUCUCGAAAGAGAGAUUAACACCGCAUAAUAUCAACAGUUCGCAUGUUCAGUUGAUUAAAUAUUUAUAGGAUGGAGAUGGGCUCGCGUGACAUUAGCUAGUUGGUAGGGUAACGGCUUACCAAGGCGACGAUGUCUAGGGGCUCUGAGAGGAGAAUCCCCCAAACUGGUACUGAGACACGGACCAGACUCCUACGGGAGGCAGCAGUAAGGAAUAUUGGUCAAUGGGCGGAAGCCUGAACCAGCCAUGCCGCGUGCAGGAUGACUGCCCUAUGGGUUGUAAACUGCUUUUGUCCAGGAAUAAACCUAAAUACGAGUAUUUAGCUGAAUGUACUGGAAGAAUAAGGAUCGGCUAACUCCGUG
rnacentral:rRNA from 1 species